GAUGAACGCUGGCGGCGUGCUUAACACAUGCAAGUCGAACGGAAAGGCUCCUGCUUGCCGGGGUACUCGAGUGGCGAACGGGUGAGUAACACGUGGGUGAUCUGCCCUGCACUUCGGGAUAAGCCUGGGAAACUGGGUCUAAUACCGGAUAGGACCACAUUUUGGAUGGUGUGGUGGAGAGUUUUUCGGUGUGGGUUGAGCUCGCGGCCUAUCAGCUUGUUGGUGGGGUAAUGGCCUACCAAGGCGUCGACGGGUAGCCGGCCUGAGAGGGUGUACGGCCACAUUGGGACUGAGAUACGGCCCAGACUCCUACGGGAGGCAGCAGUGGGGAAUAUUGCACAAUGGGCGCAAGCCUGAUGCAGCGACGCCGCGUGGGGGAUGACGGCCUUCGGGUUGUAAACUCCUUUCGCUAGGGACGAAGCGCAAGUGACGGUACCUGGAGAAGAAGCACCGGCUAACUACGUG
rnacentral:rRNA from 1 species